GAUGAAGAACGUAGCGAAAUGCGAUAAGUAAUGCGAAUUGCAGAAUUUCCGUGAGUCAUCGAAUCUUUGAACGCACAUUGCGCCCGCCAGUAUUCUGGCGGGCAUGCCUGUUCGAGCGUCAUUACAACCCUCAGGCCCCCGGGCCUGGCGUUGGGGAUCGGCGGAGCCCCCCGUGGACACACGCCGUCCCCCAAAUGCAGUGGCGGUCCCGCCGCAGCUUCCAUCGCGUAGUAGCUAACACCUCGCGACUGGAGAGCGGCGCGGCCACGCCGUAAAACACCCAACUCUUCUGAAGUUGACCUCGAAUCAGGUAGGAAUACCCGCUGAACUUAAGCAUAUCAAUAAGCGGAGGA
rnacentral:misc_RNA from 1 species